rnacentral:rRNA from 1 species
GGCAAACGGGUGAGUAACACGUGGGUAACCUACCCUUGAGUGGGGAAUAACAUCUCGAAAGAGGUGCUAAUACCGCAUGACAUCGAGAGGGCUCUGGCCUUUUCGAUCAACGGUUGGGAUCUUCGGACCAACCGCUCGAGGAUGGGCCCGCGGCUGAUUAGCUAGUUGGUGGGGUAAUGGCCUACCAAGGCGACGAUCAGUAGCCGGCCUGAGAGGGCGAUCGGCCACACUGGAACUGAGACACGGUCCAGACUCCUACGGGAGGCAGCAGUGAGGAAUUUUGGACAAUGGGCGAAAGCCUGAUCCAGCAACGCCGCGUGGACGAUGAAGGUCUUCGGAUCGUAAAGUCCUGUCGAGUGGGAAGAAAUGCAGGAGGGUUAACAGCCUUCCUGCCUGACUGUACCACCAGAGGAAGCCCCGGCUAACUCCGUGCCAGCAGCCGCGGCAAUACGGAGGGGGCAAGCGUUGUUCGGAAUUAUUGGGCGUAAAGGGCGCGUAGGCGGCGAGGUAAGUCAGACGUGAAAUCCCUCGGCUUAACCGAGGAAUUGCGUUUGAUACUGCCAUGCUUGAGGCCAGGAGAGGAGAGUGGAAUUCCCAGUGUAGCGGUGAAAUGCGUAGAUAUUGGGAGGAACACCGGUGGCGAAGGCGGCUCUCUGGACUGGUUCUGACGCUGAGGCGCGAAAGCUAGGGGAGCAAACAGGAUUAGAUACCCUGGUAGUCCUAGCUGUAAACGAUGGAUGCUUGGUGUAGGGAGUAUCGACCCCUCCUGUGCCGAAGCUAACGCGAUAAGCAUCCCGCCUGGGGAGUACGGUCGCAAGGCUGAAACUCAAAGGAAUUGACGGGGGCCCGCACAAGCGGUGGAGCAUGUGGUUAACUCGACACCACGCGAAGAACCUUACCUGGGUUUGAACUGCAGAUGACAACCUCCGAAAAGAGGUCUCCCUUCGGGGUGUCUGCAGAGGUGCUGCAUGGCUGUCGUCAGCUCGUGUCGUGAGAUGUUGGGUUAAGUCCCGCAACGAGCGCAACCCUUAUCCUUAGUUGCCAUCGGGUCAUGCCGGGAACUCUAAGGAGACUGCCCCGGAAAACGGGGAGGAAGGUGGGGAUGACGUCAAGUCCUCAUGGCCUCUAUGUCCAGGGCUACACACGUGCUACAAUGGGCGAUACAAAGGGUCGCAAAGCCGCGAGGUGGAGCUAAUCCCAAAAAGUCGCUCUCAGUUCGGAUUGCAGUCUGCAACUCGACUGCAUGAAGUUGGAAUCGCUAGUAAUCCCGGAUCAGCAGGCCGGGGUGAAUACGUUCCCGGGCCUUGUACACACCGCCCGUCACAUCACGAAAGUCGGCUGCACUUGAAGCCGCUGAGCCAACUCGC